GUUGGUUAACGACUAAGCGUACACGGUGGAUGCCACGGCGGUCAGAAGGCGAUGAAAGGGCGUGCUAAUCUGCGAUAGCGCCGGUAGAUGAUAUGAACCGUUAUAACCGGCGAUACCCAGUAAGAGGAAACUUAGUGUGACUCGUCACACUAUCAUUAACUGAAUCCAUAGGUUAAUAGAGGCGAAAGAACCGGGAACUGAAGCAUCUAAGGCCGCCCCGAGGAAAAGAAAUCAACCGAAUUCCCCAGUAGCGGCGAGCGAACGGGAGGCAGAAGCCUGAAUCAGCAUGUGUGUUAGUGGAAGCGUCUGGAAAGGCGCGCGAUACAGGGUAUUGACAGCCCCGUACACAAAAAACGCAUGUGCUGUGAGCUCGAUAGUGAGGCGGGACACGUGGUAUCCUGUCUGAAUAUGGGGACCAUCCUCAAGGCUAAAUACUCCUGACUGACCGAUAGUGAACCAGUACCGUGAGGGAAAGGCGAAAAAAGAACCGGCGAGGGAGUGAAAAAUCUGAAACCGUGUACGUACAGGCAGUGGGAGCCCCACCGCAAGAAGCAUUCUCUGGUGUUGAAGGCCUGCAAAAGCAGCAUCGCGGUGGCGGAGCGUCGUUUGCGGCAUAACACAAAACAGCGGUGAAGUGCUUUGGGGUGGGGGCCGACUGCGUACCUUUGUAUAAUGGUCGGCGACUUAUAUUCUGUAGGUUGGCAAAGGGGUGUAACCGGGCGUUAAGGAUUUGCAGGGUAUAGACCCGAGCCCGGUGAUCUAGCCAUGGGCGGUUGAAAGGUUGGGUAACACUAACUGGAGGACCGAACCGACUAAUAUUUGAAAAAAUGGCAGAUGACCUUACCAAUGGCUGGGGUGAAAGGCCAAUCAAGCCGGGAUAGCCAAGUUCUCCCCGAAAGCUGACCCCAGGUAGCGCCUCGUGAAUUCAUCUCGGGGUAGAGCACUGUUUCGGCUGGGGGCCAUCCGGCUUACCAACCCGAUGCAAACUGCGAAUACCGGAGAAUAUUAUCACAGAGGAGAGACACACGGCGAGGUGCUAGCGUGCGUCGUGAAAGAGAGGCAGCAGACCGCCAGCUAAAGGUCCCAAAGUCAUGGUUAAGUGAGGGAAGCUUGAUGUGGGAAGGCCCGAACAGCGGGAUGUUGGCUUAAGCAGCCAUCAUUUAAAAGCGUAACCAGCUACUGGUCGAGUCGGCCUGCGCGAUGUAACGGGCUAAACCAUGCGCAGAAGCUGCGGCAGCGGCAUAUGCGUUGUUGGGUAGGGAAGCGUUCUGUAAGCCUGUGAAGGUGGCCUGUGAGGUUGCUGGAGGUAUCAGAAGUGCGAAUGCUGACAUAAAGUAACGAUAAAGCGGGUGAAAAGCCCGCUCGCCGGAAAGACCAAGGUUCCUGUCCAACGUUAAUCGGGGCAGGGUGAGUCGACCCCUAAGAGCGAAGGCCGAAAGAGCGUAGUCGAUGGGAAGCAGGUUAAUAUUCCCGUACUUGGUAUUUGCACUGCAGAAGAAGGGGGACGGAGAGCUAUGGCCGGGCGACGGGUUGUCCCGGUUUUAAGCGUGUGGGGUGUGUGUUCGAGGUAAGAAAUCCGGUUCACUUUAACGCACGAGGCGUGAUGACGAGGCACUUUACGGUGCUGAAACCGUACUUGCUUCCGGGAAAAGCCUCUGGCAUCGGUAACAUCAAAUCGUACCCCAAACCGACACAGGUGGUCAGGUAGAAAUACCAGGCGCUUGAGAGAACUCGGGUGAAGGAACUGAAGCAAAAUAGAAUUUGCCGCGCCAGCUUCGGGAAGAGCACACUUGACAUGUAGGUGAUGAUUUACUAUGACUGAUCGAUCGAAAGAUACCAACUGGCUGCAACUGUUUAUUAAAAAACACAGCACUGUGGUUUAAACACGAAAGUGGACGUAUACGGUGAAGCGCCUGCCCGGUGCCGGAAGGAGUUGUUGAAUUGAUAGGGUCAGCGCAAGCGAAGCUCUGAUCGAAGCCCCCGAUGAACGGCGGCCGUAACUAUAACGGUGGUCCUAAGGUAGCGAAAAUUCCUUGUCGGGUAAGUUCCGACCUGCACGAAUGGCAUGUGAUGGCGGAGCUGUACUCCGCGAACUCAGUGAAAUUGAACCGCUGUGAAAGUACGGUGUACCCGCGGCAAGACGGAAAGACCCCGUGAACGCUUUACUAUAGCUUGACACUGAACAUUGAGCCUUGAUGUGUAGAGAUGGGUGGGAGGCUUUGAAGUGUGGACGCCAGUCACCAUGGAGCCGACAGCAAAUACCACCCUUUAAUGUUGAUGUUCUAACGUGGACCCGUGAUCCGGGUUGCGGACAGUGUCUGGUGGGUAGUUUGACUGGUGCGGUCUCCUCUAAGUAACGGAGGGAGCACGAAGGUUGGCUAAUGGUCGGACAUCAGGAGGUUAGUGCAAUGGCAUAAGCCCAGCUUGACUGCGAGCGUGACGGCGCGAGCAGGUGCGGCAGGUCAUAGUGAUCGGUGGUUCUGAAUGGAAGGGCCAUCGCUCAGCAGUAAAAGGUACUCAGGGAUAACAGGCUAUUACCGCCCAAGUUCAUAUCGACGGCGGUGUUUGGCACCUCGAUAAACUCAUCAUCACACGGGGCUGGUAGGUCCCAAAGGUAUGGCUGUUCGCCAUUUAAAAUUGGUACGCGAGCUGGGUUUUGAACGUCGUGAGAACAGUUCGGUCUAUCUGCCGUGGGCGCUGGAGAACUGAGGGGGCUGCUCCUAGUACGAGGAAGGACGGAGUGGACGCAUCACUGGUGUUCGGAUUUGUCAUGCCAGUAGCGCCCGGUAACUAAAUGCGGAAAAGAGAUAAGUGCUGAAAGCAUCUAAGCACGAAACACUUCGAGAUGAGUUCUCCCUGAGACUUUAGGUCUCCUGAAGGAACGUUGAAAGACGACGACGUUGAUGGAAGGCCGGGUGGUAAGCGCAGCGAUGCGUUGAGCUAACCGGUACUAAUGAACCGUGAGGAAGCAACGC
rnacentral:rRNA from 1 species